CAAGUCGAGCGGCCCCUUCGGGGGCAGUGGCAGACGGCUGAGUAACGCGUAGGAACCUGCCCCGGGGUGGGGGACAACCUCCCGAAAGGGGGGCUAAUACCGCAUACGGUCCCGCGCAAGCGGGAAGAAAGCCCUUGGGUGCCCUGGGAGGGGCCUGCGUCCGAUUAGCUGGUUGGUGGGGUAAUGGCCUACCAAGGCGCCGAUCGGUAGCUGGUCUGAGAGGAUGAUCAGCCAGACUGGGACUGGGACACGGCCCAGACUCCUACGGGAGGCAGCAGUUAGGAAUUUUGGGCAAUGGCCGCAAGGCUGACCCAGCAACGCCGCGUGGGGGACGAAGGCUCUCGGGUUGUAAACCCCUUUUCCGGGGGACGAUGAUGACGGUACCCCGGGAAGAAGCCCCGGCUAACUACGUGCCAGCAGCCGCGGUAAUACGUAGGGGGCGAGCGUUGUCCGGAUUCAUUGGGCGUAAAGCGCGGGCAGGCGGCCCGCUCAGUCGGCCGUGAAAGCGCCGGGCUCAACUCGGCGAGGUCGGGCGAUACUGGCGGGCUAGAGGCUGGUAGAGGGCGGUGGAAUUCCGGGUGUAGUGGUGGAAUGCGUAGAGCUCCGGAGGAACACCAGUGGCGAAGGCGGCCGCCUGGGCCAGUCCUGACGCUGAGCCGCGAAAGCGUGGGGAGCGAUCCGGAUUAGAUACCCGGGUAGUCCACGCCGUAAACGAUGGGCACUAGGUGUCGGGGGUAUCGACCCCCCCGGUGCCGGCGCUAACGCAAUAAGUGCCCCGCCUGGGGAGUACGGCCGCAAGGCUAAAACUCAAAGGAAUUGACGGGGGCCCGCACAAGCAGCGGAGCGUGUGGUUUAAUUCGAUGCAACGCGCAGAACCUUACCCAGGCUUGACAUGC
rnacentral:rRNA from 1 species